rnacentral:tRNA from 1 species
GCGCACGUGGUGGAACGGUAGACACGCUACCUUGAGGGGGUAGUGCCUUAUGGGCGUGGAAGUUCAAAUCUUCUCGUGCGCACCA